GCCGAGGAAUGCCAAAGCUUGCCAGCAAACCACGAGAAGCCAGGCAGGCGGCGUGGAGCAAAUCCCCUCUCACAGAAGGAACCGGCCCUGCCAUCACCUUGAUCUCGGACUUCCAGCCUCCAGGACCAUGAGACAACACAUAUCUGCUGUGUAAGCCACAUGGUUUGUGGAACUUGGUGACAGCGGCUCUUGGAAACAAACACACAUGAGAAUCAUCACUGUUAGCAAACAACAACGGUGCCAACAAUAAUAAUAAAUGAGACUAGUGGGGCUGCCAAAAAGGGCAGAAGAUUCAUGAGACUGGGAUGCCAUGGGACUUACAGCAUGAUGUCAACAGACACAGAAGAUGAACUUUAUUUAUGAUGGAAAAAUCAAAAGGGAUGGUUGUAGAAAGCAGGAAUUAUGACUGAUGUCCCCAGAAGUGCCCCAUGGGUACACAGGGGUUGGAUGAAGCCCAGCAAGUGCAGUGAGGACUCUGCCAGGCACAGGAUGCUCCCUUUGACUCUUGCUGGAGUUUUGAUUUAUUUCCUCCCCCACUAUCUCCCCUCCAUCCACCCCCAUGACUGUUCUCAAGGAUGACUGUGUGUUCACCCACUCACCAGAUGCAACUAAAUGGCACAUGGUCAAAACGCCGAUUAACAAAAUGUUUGAACAUAUCUCAUUUUUAAGCUGACAGAUACCAAUAAGGGUACCUGGGGAGGAGUGUAUGGUCACAAAUCUGUGGGCACACGUGUGUGGUGGACACAUGU
rnacentral:lncRNA from 1 species